rnacentral:rRNA from 5 species
UUAAGCGACUAAGCGUACACGGUGGAUGCCCUGGCAGUCAGAGGCGAUGAAGGACGUGCUAAUCUGCGAUAAGCGUCGGUAAGGUGAUAUGAACCGUUAUAACCGGCGAUUUCCGAAUGGGGAAACCCAGUGUGAUUCGUCACACUAUCAUUAACUGAAUCCAUAGGUUAAUGAGGCGAACCGGGGGAACUGAAACAUCUAAGUACCCCGAGGAAAAGAAAUCAACCGAGAUUCCCCCAGUAGCGGCGAGCGAACGGGGAGCAGCCCAGAGCCUGAAUCAGUGUGUGUGUUAGUGGAAGCGUCUGGAAAGGCGUGCGAUACAGGGUGACAGCCCCGUACACAAAAAUGCACAUACUGUGAGCUCGAUGAGUAGGGCGGGACACGUGGUAUCCUGUCUGAAUAUGGGGGGACCAUCCUCCAAGGCUAAAUACUCCUGACUGACCGAUAGUGAACCAGUACCGUGAGGGAAAGGCGAAAAGAACCCCGGCGAGGGGAGUGAAAAAGAACCUGAAACCGUGUACGUACAAGCAGUGGGAGCACGCUUAGGCGUGUGACUGCGUACCUUUUGUAUAAUGGGUCAGCGACUUAUAUUCUGUAGCAAGGUUAACCGAAUAGGGGAGCCGAAGGGAAACCGAGUCUUAACUGGGCGUUAAGUUGCAGGGUAUAGACCCGAAACCCGGUGAUCUAGCCAUGGGCAGGUUGAAGGUUGGGUAACACUAACUGGAGGACCGAACCGACUAAUGUUGAAAAAUUAGCGGAUGACUUGUGGCUGGGGGUGAAAGGCCAAUCAAACCGGGAGAUAGCUGGUUCUCCCCGAAAGCUAUUUAGGUAGCGCCUCGUGAAUUCAUCUCCGGGGGUAGAGCACUGUUUCGGCAAGGGGGUCAUCCCGACUUACCAACCCGAUGCAAACUGCGAAUACCGGAGAAUGUUAUUACGGGAGACACACGGCGGGUGCUAACGUCCGUCGUGAAGAGGGAAACAACCCAGACCGCCAGCUAAGGUCCCAAAGUCAUGGUUAAGUGGGAAACGAUGUGGGAAGGCCCAGACAGCCAGGAUGUUGGCUUAGAAGCAGCCAUCAUUUAAAGAAAGCGUAAUAGCUCACUGGUCGAGUCGGCCUGCGCGGAAGAUGUAACGGGGCUAAACCAUGCACCGAAGCUGCGGCAGCGACGCUUAUGCGUUGUUGGGUAGGGGAGCGUUCUGUAAGCCUGUGAAGGUGUGCUGUGAGGUAUGCUGGAGGUAUCAGAAGUGCGAAUGCUGACAUAAGUAACGAUAAAGCGGGUGAAAAGCCCGCUCGCCGGAAGACCAAGGGUUCCUGUCCAACGUUAAUCGGGGCAGGGUGAGUCGACCCCUAAGGCGAGGCCGAAAGGCGUAGUCGAUGGGAAACAGGUUAAUAUUCCUGUACUUGGUGUUACUGCGAAGGGGGGACGGAGAAGGCUAUGUUGGCCGGGCGACGGUUGUCCCGGUUUAAGCGUGUAGGCUGGUUUUCCAGGCAAAUCCGGAAAAUCAAGGCCGAGGCGUGAUGACGAGGCACUACGGUGCUGAAGCAACAAAUGCCCUGCUUCCAGGAAAAGCCUCUAAGCAUCAGGUAACAUCAAAUCGUACCCCAAACCGACACAGGUGGUCAGGUAGAGAAUACCAAGGCGCUUGAGAGAACUCGGGUGAAGGAACUAGGCAAAAUGGUGCCGUAACUUCGGGAGAAGGCACGCUGAUACGUAGGUGAAGCGACUUGCUCGUGGAGCUGAAAUCAGUCGAAGAUACCAGCUGGCUGCAACUGUUUAUUAAAAACACAGCACUGUGCAAACACGAAAGUGGACGUAUACGGUGUGACGCCUGCCCGGUGCCGGAAGGUUAAUUGAUGGGGUUAGCGCAAGCGAAGCUCUUGAUCGAAGCCCCGGUAAACGGCGGCCGUAACUAUAACGGUCCUAAGGUAGCGAAAUUCCUUGUCGGGUAAGUUCCGACCUGCACGAAUGGCGUAAUGAUGGCCAGGCUGUCUCCACCCGAGACUCAGUGAAAUUGAACUCGCUGUGAAGAUGCAGUGUACCCGCGGCAAGACGGAAAGACCCCGUGAACCUUUACUAUAGCUUGACACUGAACAUUGAGCCUUGAUGUGUAGGAUAGGUGGGAGGCUUUGAAGUGUGGACGCCAGUCUGCAUGGAGCCGACCUUGAAAUACCACCCUUUAAUGUUUGAUGUUCUAACGUGGACCCGUGAUCCGGGUUGCGGACAGUGUCUGGUGGGUAGUUUGACUGGGGCGGUCUCCUCCUAAAGAGUAACGGAGGAGCACGAAGGUUGGCUAAUCCUGGUCGGACAUCAGGAGGUUAGUGCAAUGGCAUAAGCCAGCUUGACUGCGAGCGUGACGGCGCGAGCAGGUGCGAAAGCAGGUCAUAGUGAUCCGGUGGUUCUGAAUGGAAGGGCCAUCGCUCAACGGAUAAAAGGUACUCCGGGGAUAACAGGCUGAUACCGCCCAAGAGUUCAUAUCGACGGCGGUGUUUGGCACCUCGAUGUCGGCUCAUCACAUCCUGGGGCUGAAGUAGGUCCCAAGGGUAUGGCUGUUCGCCAUUUAAAGUGGUACGCGAGCUGGGUUUAGAACGUCGUGAGACAGUUCGGUCCCUAUCUGCCGUGGGCGCUGGAGAACUGAGGGGGGCUGCUCCUAGUACGAGAGGACCGGAGUGGACGCAUCACUGGUGUUCGGGUUGUCAUGCCAAUGGCACUGCCCGGUAGCUAAAUGCGGAAGAGAUAAGUGCUGAAAGCAUCUAAGCACGAAACUUGCCCCGAGAUGAGUUCUCCCUGACCCUUUAAGGGUCCUGAAGGAACGUUGAAGACGACGACGUUGAUAGGCCGGGUGUGUAAGCGCAGCGAUGCGUUGAGCUAACCGGUACUAAUGAACCGUGAGGCUUAACCUU